rnacentral:rRNA from 1 species
AUUGAACGCUGGCGGCAUGCUUUACACAUGCAAGUCGAACGGUAACAGGCCGCAAGGUGCUGACGAGUGGCGAACGGGUGAGUAAUGCAUCGGAACGUGCCCAGUCGUGGGGGAUAACGCAGCGAAAGCUGCGCUAAUACCGCAUACGAUCUAUGGAUGAAAGCGGGGGACCGUAAGGCCUCGCGCGAGUGGAGCGGCCGAUGGCAGAUUAGGUAGUUGGUGGGGGAAAGGCUCAACAAGCCAACGAUCUGUAGCUGGUCUGAGAGGAAGACAAGCCGUACUGGGACUGAGACACGGCCCAGACUCCUACGGGAGGCAGCAGUGGGGAAUUUUGGACAAUGGGCGCAAGCCUGAUCCAGCAAUGCCGCGUGCAGGAAGAAGGCCUUCGGGUUGUAAACUGCUUUUGUACGGAACGAAACGGUCCUGGUUAAUACCCGGGGCUAAUGACGGUACCGUAAGAAUAAGCACCGGUUAACUACGUGCCAGCCGCCGCAGUAAAAC